rnacentral:lncRNA from 1 species
AAGGCCUAGUCCUAUCGAAGACUAGCAUCUUCAGGGUCUUGCAGCAAUAGACGAGAGUAGAACAGGUAACACAAAUAUAGUCAUAUUGUUGCAGCAAGAUUAAUAUGAGGUCACGCCCAGAGAUCCUUCCUCGACUCCCUGCGAGGAAGCAAUCCCGGAGCAACUAUUCCAGUUAAGUAACAUUUGUAGUUGUAUAAGAUCAGGGCACAACUCCAAGUCGUCUUGUAAUCAUGGACACGGCUAUCCGAAUAGUUCAUUUAUUCCCUGUAGGGGUGCACAACAUAUUCCCCGUCACGCUCGAUAACACUCUGGCCGGACACACUUUUCUGGGUCAUGCCCGGCCUCGGAAUAUCGACACGUUGCAGCCCCACCUAAGCUCAACACAGAGGCCAGCCCACCGGUCUAACUCCUAAGCACAAAGGGGUUGUGGGCCCUCUUGCCCUCUACGCUCCUGCACGAUGCAAGGGCGGCCGAUGUCAGUCCUAGCACCCCUUAUUACAAGCGCGAUGCAUCUCGGGACCACUCGGGCGUGCGCCGCUCCAUUGCUGAUGUCUGAAGAGCCUCGGCUCAUACCACGACGUCGAGUACCCAUAAUUCUUCCCACGCAGACGGUUAGUGUGUAAUAAGGACUUCCGACCAACCCAGAUCAAAUACCCAAAUCCAUUAUCAUUUUAAUUAAGUCAACGACACAUCCACGUGGGAAUCCACCCGCCUAACAUCUAUUCAUCAAAGAUCCCAGUAGCAUGGUCAAGUAACUGUGUGGUUGUAACAUCAGGGGGAAUCCGAGGUAUCACCCUCGCUGGAUUCCGAACUAUGUAUCCGUCAAGGUGGACUUAGAGGAAUCACCCUCGAGGGUCCCACACUUGAGGGGUUGCAUGACAGAGACAUCGUCGGGAGUGGUGAAGGAGGAAUCACCCUCGAUAACCAUGACCGACUAGCUACACUACAAAGGUAUCAUCAUGAGUACUUCGCGAGGUGUCACCCUCGGUACCCGAUAGUAGCUCUGUAGUGCCGCACAACUAAGGGGGUUGUAAGUGUUGUGCCGGUUCUUGGCUCGUCGAUAAGGGAUCGAGACUUAACAUUAAAGCGGGGCAACUGGACUAAGGGGUCAGAGGGGAUGAUUGCUCCACCUAUACUAAACAGUUUUAGAGUGCAGUACUGAAGGUAGCAGUUCAUCAAAAUUAGGCUAUGCAUCAGAUAUAGGAGCUAACUACAACAGUAGCAAAAUUCUAAUGCAAGCACGAGGAAGAAAAACAUAGGCGAUAUAGGGAUGAUCAAGGGGGGUUUUCUUACCUUGUUGCUCUGCGGUAAAGGGCUGGUCGUCAGGAGGGUAGAUGUACCC